rnacentral:tmRNA from 1 species
GGGGCCGACUGGUAUCGACCGGACGAUGACUUUUCGUCGUGGCGCGUCGUGGAGCAUCCCUGCCACGUAAAAAGGAUGCAAACUUUUUAUCUGCCAACACGCAGUACUCCCUCGCGGCCUGAUCGCCGUGAUGGAAACCCACCUGACGCCCGAUGGGGCGGGUUUCCAUAAAACAUCGGGCUGGGUCCAAAGGGCUGGCAUGCCUCGGAGGAUCGAGAAAUUCGUAUGCCUUGUUCCCGGCUUGGGUUGUUCGCCCUCCGGGUCGGGAACGAGAUCAAGGGUGAACUACACGCGUAGAUGCGGCGUUCAGCACGUCUUGGCACGGGGGUUCGAAUCCCCCCGGCUCCAUUU